rnacentral:rRNA from 1 species
AAACUUAAAGGAAUUGACGGGGGCCCGCACAAGCGGUGGAGCAUGUGGCUCAAUUCGAUGCAACGCGAAGAACCUUACCAGGCCUUGACAUGCACUAGACAGACUCUGAAAGGAGUCCUCCCCUUUCGGGGCUGGUGCACAGGUGCUGCAUGGCUGUCGUCAGCUCGUGUCGUGAGAUGUUGCGUUAAGUCGCGCAACGAGCGCAACCCCUGUCCUUAGUUGCCAUCAUUAAGUUGGGUACUCUAGGGAGACAAACCCUCUCUGAGGGUGGGAAGGUGGGGAUGACGUCAAGUCAGGAUGGCCCUUACGGCCUGGGCUGCACACGUGCUACAAUGCCCGAUACAGAGGGAAGCAAUACCGCGAGGUGGAGCAAAUCCUCAAAAUCGGGCCCAGUUCAGAUUGUAGUCUGCAACUCGACUACAUGAAGUUGGAAUCGCUAGUAAUGGCGCAUCAGCUACGGCGCCGUGAAUACGUUCCCGGGCCUU